rnacentral:rRNA from 1 species
AAUCAACGCUGGCGGCGUGCCUAACACAUGCAAGUCGAACGCGAAAGCCCCUUCGGGGGUAAGUAGAGUGGCGUCCGGGUGAGUAACACGUGGGUAAUCUACCUUCGGGUGGGGAAUAAACUCAGGGAAACGUUGAGCUAAUACCGCAUAAUGCAGCGGCACCUAAUGGUGAUUAGUUGUUAAAGCGGGGGAUCGCAAGACCUCGCGCCUGAAGAGGAGCCUGCGGCAGAUUAGCUAGGGGUUGAGUAAUGGCUCACCAAGCUUCGAUCUGUAGCUGGUCUGAGAGGACGGCCAGCCACACUGGCACU